rnacentral:rRNA from 1 species
AACGAACGCUGGCGGCAGGCUUAACACAUGCAAGACGAACGCCCCGCAAGGGGAGUGGCAGACGGGUGAGUAACGCGUGGGAACAUACCCUUUCCUGCGGAAUAGCUCUGGGAAACUGGGAUUAAUACCGCAUACGCCCUACGGGGGAAAGAUUUAUCGGGGAAGGAUUGGCCCGCGUUGGAUUAGCUAGUUGGUGGGGUAAAGGCCUACCAAGGCGACGAUCCAUAGCUGGUCUGAGAGGAUGAUCAGCCACAUUGGGACUGAGACACGGCCCAAACUCCUACGGGAGGCAGCAGUGGGGAAUAUUGGACAAUGGGCGCAAGCCUGAUCCAGCCAUGCCGCGUGAGUGAUGAAGGCCUUAGGGUUGUAAAGCUCUUUCACCGAUGAAGAUAAUGACGGUAGUCGGAGAAGAAGCCCCGGCUAACUUCGUGCCAGCCGCCGCAGUAACAC